GGUAUUUAAUUUGUUUUUCUGCUUAAGGCUAGUGAUGUGGUAAAAUAUAGAACAAGGGGGAUAAAAAGGCUCAAGGUGGCUAACAAGGGUGACAUAAAAGGGUAGGCUGUUUGGGAUAAGUGAGCAAAAACAAGUAAUGGCCUCAAUCAUAUGCAAGCAUGUAAAUACACUAAAUAGUGGACAUAUAGAAUGGAACAAAGUAAAGUCUGCAAUUAUAGAGAAGGAAACACACAAGAAUAAAAUAUUAUGGUUAAAU
rnacentral:lncRNA from 1 species